rnacentral:lncRNA from 1 species
CCAGCCAUUGAUGAGGAGAAGAAUGUCAUUUUGAUUGCCUUGGUGGCGUUUGCUUGCCUGCAAGUCAAUCCCAAAGCCCGGCCAACAAUGCAGCAGGUAUAUCACGCACUGACAAAUAGAAACAGCCCAUCAUUCAUGCCCAGGCCCUUUCAUGAAAUCAGGCUACAAGAUUUUCAUGAUUUUUGUGGCACCAUAAAGAAUAUAUGAAUCGAUAUGGGUGUUCUACUAUGUUAGCAAUUAUAUAUUUGGCAUAUGUGUAUUUGAGAUAACGUAUCUACCCUGUUAUCUUUGAACUUUGAAGUGUCUGUAACAAUUAGAUUGCUGUCCGUUUCGGAAAAAAAAAACAAUUAGAUUGCUGAUAAAUGAAGCGGCAUUUUGAUUUCGAGAAUUAGCUUGUUGAUAUUUGCCCAAGUACUGAUUUACUCUAGUUUGUUUGACUGACAUUUUGCAGGAAUGUUUGGAUGGUGCCUCUGUGAUUAGCUGGUUUCUUAGAAGGUGAUUAACUAUUUAUUGUUGUCGAGUGUUUGUAAUCAGGCAAUCUGUUGUUUAUUUUGGCACUAGGUUUAUCUUUUGCCUGAAGCCGUCUGGGAGAAAGACAUUCAAGAGACUUGAUCAUAUGACCCAUAUCGGUUUUCGCAUAGAUCAUAUGGCCUGAUUUAGUUCGUGAUAGAUCAUGCAUGUGCCCUUGUUUUGUUUGCCUUUCUGGUCAUUUACUGUUUUUAACAAGUACUCCCUCCGAUCCAUAUUAAUAGACGCACACUUAGUACAACU